GGGGCUGUAGCUCAGCUGGGAGAGCAUCACGCUGGCAGUGUGAGGGUCAAGGGUUCGAAUCCCUUCAGCUCCACCG
rnacentral:tRNA from 1 species